rnacentral:rRNA from 1 species
ACUCCUACGGGAGGCAGCAGUGGGGAAUAUUGCACAAUGGGCGCAAGCCUGAUGCAGCCAUGCCGCGUGUAUGAAGAAGGCCUUCGGGUUGUAAAGUACUUUCAGCAGUGAGGAAGGUAGUGUAGUUGUUAGCUGCAGAAGAAGCACCGGCUAACUCCGUGCCAGCAGCCGCGGUAAUACGGAGGGUGCGAGCGUUAAUCGGAAUUACUGGGCGUAAAGCGCAUGCAGGUGGCUUGUUAAGUCAGAUGUGAAAGCCCGGGGCUCAACCUCGGAAUUGCAUUUGAAACUGGCAGACUAGAGUACUGUAGAGGGGGUAGAAUUUCAGGUGUAGCGGUGAAAUGCGUAGAGAUCUGAAGGAAUACCGGUGGCGAAGGCGGCCCCCUGGACAGAUACUGACACUCAGAUGCGAAAGCGUGGGGAGCAAACAGGAUUAGAUACCCUGGUAGGAUAGCG